GCCAAAUGCCACCAAGCAUCUAAAACCUGAGAACAGGCUGCCCUGCAGUACCCGUGAUAAGACUCACUUGGAUCUGAUUUUGCCACGGAGUUCCAGUGGUGCAGGAACAAAGCCCAAAGCGGUGUCAGGUAGCCACAGCGGGGAGAGGAGGCUACAGCCUGUUGGCAGCUAAUGAACUGGCCUGAGCGAAAGGAGAGAGGGUACGAAGAAAGCCUUUAGUAGCACCUGCUGCUCUCUGCCGGCAUCUGAUACGCUCUGGAGACGAUUGCUGACUUCCAGGGAGCAAUCUCCACCGAAGAAAUAAUGGCCAUCAUUUGAUUCUAUCCAAAAAUGAAAAUGAACCCUCUUAAGGUCUUCCCAAGGACUGUUCCACAAUGGAAAAUGGCUUCAAAUCAGUGCAUGUCACAUAUGGCCAUUCCCUCCCAGGCCCUCACAGAGCCUUGAAGAAGGCAGUAAGGAAAUCUGGCUGCAUUUCCCAGGAACCCUGUUGUCAUGACCUCUCCUUGAUGCCGGGAUGCAGGUACCUGAGGGGCACAGGAAGACUUUCCAAGGGAUACAGAUCAUUUCAAAGGAAUCAAUUUCUUUUAUCAAGCUGAUCCACCUGAGAACAAGACUUCCUUCCCACUACUGUGGGUUCUUCCCCUUCAUCAGAGAGAGGCUGGGCUCUCACUCCCCCCAGAUCUUACCAUGAGGGUCUGAACGGAGCUCCAAGCACUCCGAUUGCCUGCUCCUUGAAUGUUAAAUCAUGACACACUUAGAGUGCUAUCUUACCCAGAGCUUUGUCACACCUGCAGCUGUGUCUGAAUGCAAUGUUUGGGGCAUGCUCCGAAUUCAGAAUAACUGAAAUGAUACCGAUUUGUGAUGGAGAUUCUUUAGCCUGUAACUGGAAUGUUUUCUGAGACCACCAAAUGUUUUGAGAUAUAUGAAAGAAAACUCAUGAAUAAACAUUUUUCUUUCUUCCUUCCUUUUUUUUUUUCAGAUUUGAUUCUCUUUAUUUAAUAAGUGGUUAAAAUUUGCUUCAGCAAGUCUUACUGAUGUAAUU
rnacentral:lncRNA from 1 species